UUGUUAUCACGAAAGGCAGAGGGAAUAGACCCGAUGAAGCCUUAGCAACCCUUUAAUCUUUAAAGAAGGUGCUAAAUUCUACCGCAAGCGCGGAUAGAUAACAC
rnacentral:ncRNA from 2 species